GGCAAGAUGGCCGAGCGGUCUAAGGCGCCAGGUUCAGGUCCACCUGAAUUUCGCAUUCUAUCCCAGAGUGUUUCCUGGUCGGAGAAAUCCGGCGCGAGUUCGAAUCUCGCUCUUGUCA